rnacentral:rRNA from 1 species
UAGCGGCGAGCGAAGCGGGAAGAGCUCAAAUUUAUAAUCUGGCACCUUCGGUGUCCGAGUUGUAAUCUCUAGAAGUGUUUUCCGCGUUGGACCGCACACAAGUCUGUUGGAAUACAGCGGCAUAGUGGUGAGACCCCCGUAUAUGGUGCGGACGCCCAACGCUUUGUGAUACACUUUCGAAGAGUCGAGUUGUUUGGGAAUGCAGCUCAAAUUGGGUGGUAAAUUCCAUCUAAAGCUAAAUAUUGGCGAGAGACCGAUAGCGAACAAGUACCGUGAGGGAAAGAUGAAAAGCACUUUGGAAAGAGAGUUAACAGUACGUGAAAUUGUUGGAAGGGAAACGCUUGAAGUCAGACUUGCUUGCCGAGCAAUCGGUUUGCAGGCCAGCAUCAGUUUUCUGGGGUGGAUAAUGGUAGAGAGAAGGUAGCAGUUUCGGCUGUGUUAUAGCUCUUUGCUGGAUACACCUUGGGGGACUGAGGAACGCAGUGUGCCUUACGGCGGAUUUCUCGAGAUCUUCACACUUAGGAUGCUGGUGGAAUGGCUUUAAACGACCCGUCUUGAACCCACGG